UGGUCCUGUGUGAUUUGAUCGUCAUUGUGUAAAGACUGUGGAACUCUGUGGUGCAAGGACGCUAAUCAGAAAAUGUAGUCACAUUUCGUUUUGCAUUUUGACUCAAUCAAAAUUUUGGGGAAAUAUUCAGUUUAUGGCUGCGGGGAACACUUUCAUGAUCACCGGAAACUUUUGUUUUAUAAUCUGACGUGUUUUCAAUCUAUAGCAAAAAUGGCUCCUGUUGUAACAAAGACGUCAUUGCGGAGGUACGUAGCGCUUUUUCUUCUUUUUACCUCCGUUCCAAACGCAUCAACCUCGGUAACUCAUUAUUCUAUUUCCGAAGAGAUGAAAGAAGGAUCAGUUGUCGCUAACCUCGCUACAGAUCUCGGACUGGAUAUUACAACGCUAACAAAGAGAAAGAUGCGAGUUGACAUAAUCGCGAACAAGAAAUAUCUGGACGUGAACAAAGAGACUGGUGAACUGUAUGUUCUGGAAAAAAUUGACAGAGAACAUAUUUGUACCACAAAGUCAUCGUCCUCUUGUUACCUUAGAUUGGAAGUCACAUUGGACAACCCAGUGCGUAUUUUUAACAUCGAAGUAGAAAUUUUGGACAUGAAUGACAACGCCCCACAAUUUCGAAGAGACGUCAUACAUUUGGAUAUAUCAGAAGCGACACAAAAAGGGGAGAGAUUUUCGUUAAGCAACGCCGUUGAUCGGGAUGUUGGUACUAAUGCACUGAAAACAUAUCAUCUGAGCGAAAGUGAAUAUUUCAGCAUCGAGGUUCAGAGUGGAAGAGAAGGGUCCAAAUUUGCAGAUUUAAUUUUGAAAAAAACCUUAGAUCGUGAGAAGCAAGCUGUUCAUAAUCUAAUACUUACGGCUGUAGAUGGAGGAACACCAGCUAGAUCCGGCACCGCCAGUGUUAUUGUUCGUGUUUUGGACACCAAUGACAAUGCUCCCAUGUUUGAUAAAGCUGGUCUAACAGUUACGAUGCUAGAAAAUUCUCCAAUUGGAAGCCUUGUUAUAAAUCUUAAUGCAACUGAUUUAGAUGAAGGAUCAAAUUCUGAUAUUUCAUACUCAUAUAGUUUAUACACAUCAGAGAAAACACAAGAAACAUUUAAUCUGAAUCCAACCACAGGUGAAAUUACUGUAAAAGGAAUGUUGAACUAUGAGGAUUUUAAUAUUUAUGACAUGGAAGUCAUAGCAAUAGACAAAGGAAUCAAUAGUUUAUCAGGACAAUGUACAAUAAAGAUCCUAGUUGAAGACAUGAAUGACAACCACCCAGAAAUAUCAAUUAAAUCCUUUCAGAGUCCAGUCAGUGAGAACAUAGAGUUAGACACAGUGAUAGCUGUAGUUAGUGUGAGUGAUAAAGACUCAGGUGAUAAUGGACAGGUUGAUCUUCAUAUUCCAGAGAACAUGCCUUUCAAACUGAGGGAGUCCUCUGAUAACUAUUAUGAGUUAGUGGUGUCAGAGCCAUUAGACAGAGAGAAGGUCCCAGAAUAUGAAAUCACCUUCACUGUCACAGACAGAGGGUCUCCUCCACUAUGUGACAAUGAAACUAUGACUUUGGAGCUGCUGGAUGUUAAUGACAAUGUUCCUCAGUUCUCCCAGUCAUUUUAUACCAUACGUGUCAUGGAGAAUAACGCACCUGGCUCCUUGCUCAGCUCACUCACUGCAUUUGAUCCUGACCUCCAUGAAAACCAGUAUCUAGUUUAUUUCAUCAUAGAGAAGGAGAUUGCCAACACUUCCAUGUCUAUGCUGUUCUCCAUCAAUCCAGAGAACGGGAAUCUUUAUGCACUGAAAACCUUUGACUAUGAGAUUGAGAAGGAGUUUCUUUUCCACAUUGAGGCCAGAGACUCUGGUUCUCCUCCUCUCAGCAGUAAUGUGACCGUCCACAUCAUCAUUGUUGACCAAAAUGACAACGCUCCAGUUAUUGUCUCUCCUUGGCGCGCUCAUGGCUCAGUGGUGGAGGAGAAGAUGCCCAGAUCCACUGAUAAAGGAUCCCUGGUGGCUAAAGUGAUCGCCUUAGACACAGACUCUGUGCACAACUCUCGGAUUACCUACCAGUUUCUCCAGGUGACUGAUGCUUCCUUGUUCAGCUUGGACCAAUACAAUGGAGAGAUCAGGACUAUGAGGAUGUUCAGUUACAAAGACUCACGCCACCACAGACUGGUUGUUGUUGCCAAGGACAACGGGGAGCCUGCUCUCUCUGCUACAGUCACCAUCAAGCUGCUGACAGUGGAGACUGAUGUUAAGGCCUACUCUGACAUGACUGAGAUGCCUCUGGAAUACGACAUCUUUUCAGACAUCAACCUGUAUCUGGUCAUCGGUCUGGCCUCGGUGUCAUUUCUCCUGCUCAUCACCAUCCUGGUCACCAUCGUGCUGAAGUGUCAGAAACCCAAACACAGCAAAACUGCUCCUCCCAGCAGGAACAGUGUGAUCAGUGAGAGAAACUCCACCAUCGCAGACUCCACUCUGGUCUCCAACGAUGCCUACUGGUACAGUCUGUUUCUAGCAGAGACCAGGAAAGGAAAGCUGGUGGUCAGACAGCCUGUGCCAAAGGGCUCCAGAUACAUCGUGUCCAGCAUCCCGAGAGGGACAGGACUGUCAGAGACUAGUGACUCAGCUGCUUCUACUCUGCAGGUAGGAAUUUCAUAACUCCUCAGGAAGAUAAUUUUUUUUUCUUGUCUUUCAUAUUGAAUUUGACUUCAUUAUAGUCUUGUCCAAGACCAAAUUGUUACAUAGUAUUAUUUAAUAUCUUUGAAAUCUACCCUUUCAUUAUCAUAUAUUUUUUUCAUAUGACAAAAAUUGUAAAACACCAUCAGUAUAAAAAAAUUAUAGUCCCUAUAUUUUGUUUUAGGUAAUUUGGUCUUUUUCACAAUACAUACUUUUUUGUCAACAUAACCUUACAUUUUGAUUCACCAUAUGUCUCUUAAGAAUUUCAAAGCAGAAAUAGAAAUGCAAGACUUAUUAGUAGUGUAUGGUCACAUCUUUAAUGCAGCAUUUUAAAAUAUUUGAAAAAUUAACCCAUACUUACAUCCAAAUUCAUUCUCUCUAUAAUUAUCACUUUGAUUUUUUCUCUACUUAAGAAAAAAUGUGUUGAUAAAUGUGUUGCAAAUUUUAUUUGCAGGUUUCAUCAGAUGCAUAGUUGCAUUAACAUAUAUUUUUUAUGUAGAUGCUUUCAAAUGAUAAAUAUUAUUAUCUUGAUAAAAUAAUAUGUUACAUUAAAUAAACUAAAAUUUCAAAUUAAAACAAAGCUCAAUUUAAGUGCUAAUUCUGUAUUACUACUAUCAUCAGCAACAAAAUUUGAUUUUACCGCUACUACCAAUAACAACAUAGCAGGAGCAGAAAUAAUUUAUGAUUUUGUGUCUAUCCAGUAUUAGUAUUUCCUUUGGUAGAAAGGCAAUUAAUAUUUUACCAGGCAAUAUGAAUUUCAUUCACACGUCUAUGAAAUAUUAUUAGGAUUAAAUUGCAGGUUGUCCAGGAAUUACCCAGCAACUUGACUAAUGACUGGGAGACAAGCUCUUGCACUCAUAUACGUGAAAUCAAUGGGGAAUACGAGAUGGAUGGAUGGAUGGAUGGAUGGAUGGAUGGAUGGAUGGAUGGAUGAAAACUAUAAGCAACAUUAUUUGACAUAGCAGUUGAAAAUGUCAUUUAGAUUUCACAUUUCUGCAAGUAAAGUUGAGGAUCUACGAUAUAAAGUAAAUAUAAUCACAACAUUUAAAGAAUAUUUUGCGAUAUCUUUUUAUUAGAUAAAUAGUAAUAUUAUCUUUUUCAUCUUUCAAUUUCAGUAGAUAGUUUGGUUUAAUAAAUGGUGGCGCUGUUGUCUUUCUUAAAGUUCGGUUUAUGGACGUCAUCCUGGAGGUCUCAUUUGUCGGAGCGUUUUCAUGCAGAGACUGGACAGCUCCCUGGUGCUGAAACGCCGUUCAGUGAAAGAUGUCGCCGUUUUCCUGUAUUUUGCCUGGAUUUAAAACGUUUUAAAGGUUUCGGAUUGAUGGCAGAGGAGUAUUUUCAGUGUCGCUGACAGCCUGACUUUCUCUUUUUGAUUUACUGUUAUCCUGAAUUUUACAAUGAGUCCGGUUUCAACAAAGGGCUUUAUGCACAGUACCCUAAAUGAGGAAGGUCCACUCAGCAGCUGGAGGCCUCCACUACAAGCAGCAACAGCUCCAAGUAAUUCCAGUCCUUCAGCUGUGGAUAUGAUUUUUUUGCCAGCAGCAAAAGCCUGGUGGAAGAAAAGAGGAACUCCGUUUAGAGAUCCACCCCCAUGGAUACGCCCUCCUUUGUCUCGUUCCUGUUCCUUACUCUGUGCAGUCGUCAUGCAACUCAAAUGAAUCAGACCAGAAAACAUACCCUGCACUCUCCCAUUCUUUGAACACAUAAACCGCAGAUCAACAACGCCAUGAUGUCCAUACCUAUAUGCAUGAAUAGACUGCAUGGCUUCAACUUAUAUUUAAAAUAUUGUAAAGAUGAGGUCCUGAGAAAUGUGCACUCUGAGUUUGUACAGAAGGCACAACAAGUAUUCCAAGAGAGGACAUGGAAAGGUUGAAAUGCCCUUAGAGACUUUUUAUGUUUAGUAGAAAGAAGCACAUGUUGCAAUUUACAAUUGAAUCCUUUGUGCCCUGCCUUGCGCCAUACAAACACUGAUGUAUAAUAUCAGAGGUAAAAUACAGCACAACUAACUAAAUAUUCAAAAAGCAUUGAAUAAAAUUUAAAGUAAUUAAAUAGUCAGCAUUUUGUAAGUGUUUACUGUUAGCUAAAUCAUGUUUACUUGUGUUUUAUAAGUUAGCCAGGCCUAAAUAUGUGAAAGUGCCAAGUCCAUCAUAAGCACAAAUGAAUAGAAUUGAGGCCUUUCUUCAGCCAUCAUGCCUUUCAGUUGUUUUCUGCAAGAAACAAUAGAGUAAGACGUAUCAAAUAUGUUAUUUUCUGCAAUUACGACAUGUUUUUUUUUUGUUCUUUUAACAGAGAUGAACAAUUAGAUUUCAUGGGACCAGAGUCAUGCGGUGCGAUGUUUUGUUUUGUUACCUCAGUUUAGGACGAAGCAGCACAAUGUCAGCUUAGUUGAUUCACAAAUGUAACAUUUCUCAUAACAGAAAGUUGAAAUGUCACCAUGUUUGAAGGUUUUGGCUAUUUGAACAUUGUUAAAUAAGUCUUGGGGUUUCAGUGAGCGAGCGACUAUGAGAUAACAGACUGAUUUGUUAUAUAAACUGUAUUUAUAUCAGGAUUUACUUAUUUGAGUUUGCAAGCAAAGCUCUAAGUUAGCUUACUUUCAGUAUAUCCAGUGAUGCAGCCUGUUAACAUUUAAUGUUGACUUUACAAAACUGAAACAGCAAAUUGUACCAGUGGGGGUUUUUUUUCACUCAAUGAAAGCUGUGUUUAUGUAUUUUACAAUACUGUAUGUAUCUCCUUAAGGAAUUCAAAACAACAUGCAACUAACAUAAGAAAAUAAUCCCAUGCCUCUUUAUUAUUAUGCCUUUUUUAAUCAUCAGUAAAAGAUUUUUAAGCCUCUUUAAUGUGAACAGAAUGAUGUGCCAUCAUAUCUAAGUCUGUGUAUGCAGGAACACAACCAUGUUGUCAAACUCUUUAGUACAGCUUGUGUUUCUAUUUGGGUGUAAUGUGUUGAAUCAAAACAUAUAUGGUAAAUGCUUUGGUACAGUGUUACUUUCAUGGUGCAACAUGUAGACAGUGUGAGUUAAUUGUAUACUGUAGUGUGUAUGAAUUACUAAAAAUAAAACAAUAAAAUUUCAGUCUC